CAUUACUGAGUUGAAACUCCACCCCUGUGAACUAACCUCUGUCGUUGCUUCGGCGGGCACGCCCGCCGGAGGUUCAAAACUCUUAUUUUUUUCAUUAUCUCUGAGCCUAAAAGACAAAUAAUCAAAACUUUCAACAACGGAUCUCUUGGUUCUGGCAUCGAUGAAGAACGCAGCGAAAUGCGAUAAGUAAUGUGAAUUGCAGAAUUCAGUGAAUCAUCGAAUCUUUGAACGCACAUUGCGCCCGCCGGUAUUCCGGCGGGCAUGCCUGUUCGAGCGUCAUUUCAACCCUCAAGCCUCGGCUUGGUGUUGGGGCGCCCGGGCCCUCCGCGGCCCGGGGCCCCCAAGUUCAUCGGCGGGCUCGUCGGUACACUGAGCGCAGUAAAACGCGGUAAAACGCGAACCUCGUUCGGAUCGUCCCGGCGUGCUCCAGCCGCUAAACCCCCAAUUCUUUAAAGGUUGACCUCGGAUCAGGUAGGAAUACCCGCUGAACUUAAGCAUAUCAAUAAGCGGAGGAACA
rnacentral:rRNA from 1 species